rnacentral:lncRNA from 1 species
UUUGGCUGUUUUUUUCAAAAAAAAAUGAAGAAAUUAAGUAAUUGGCAUUAUUGUUGUUAGGUGUUAUAUAUAUAUAUGCAGCAUGCUUAAUUAUUUUCUUGGAUGACAUCCAGGAACUAGAAGAAGGGGAGUACGAGGAAGAUGAAGUAGAAGUAGAUGAAGAUGAGGAAGAAGAAAAUGGAAGCGUCCAUGAUGACGGAGAAGGGGAAAGGGAGGCUGAUACCGAAAACUAUGAAGCUGAAAAUGACUUGCAACAUAGGGAAUUGCAGGUUUAAGGAUAGUGAUUUCAGGUUCUGACUUUGUUUCCAAGGGAUUUGAAAAUAAGCAGACAACAAAGCACAUGAAAUCAACUUUGCUGUCCACAAGAUAAUCCUGGGCAUUUUUCUUUCCUCUUCACUGUGGAAAAAGAAGAGAGAACAAAAAGACCAAGGCAUUUUUCUUCUUUCGUCAAAUCGAUUCCUGGGCAUCAAAUCUCUUUACAGUUUGAAAGGGAGUUUCUGCUAAGUGCUAAUUCGGGGAUAAGUUAUGAAUUUCCAGGCCCAAUUGCGCAAGCUUUCAACCUUGUGAAUUUCCACUGCCCUGUUUACUUAUUUAGCAUUUUUUAUCAAUUUUUUUUUUUAGCCAGUUUUGAAAAUGCGGGUAGAGAAAACUUGGAAAAAAAC